AUCAGUGGCGAACGGGUGAGUAACACGUGAGUAACCUGCCCCUGACUCUGGGAUAAGCCUUGGAAACGAGGUCUAAUACCGGAUACGAGACGCUCGUGCAUGCGAAGUGUCUGGAAAGAUUUAUCGGUCAGGGAUGGACUCGCGGCCUAUCAGCUUGUUGGUGGGGUAACGGCCCACCAAGGCGACGACGGGUAGCCGGCCUGAGAGGGCGACCGGCCACACUGGGACUGAGACACGGCCCAGACUCCUACGGGAGGCAGCAGUGGGGAAUAUUGCACAAUGGGCGCAAGCCUGAUGCAGCGACGCCGCGUGAGGGAUGAAGGCCUUCGGGUUGUAAACCUCUUUCAGCAGGGAAGAAGCGCAAGUGACGGUACCUGCAGAAGAAGCGCCGGCUAACUACGUGCCAGCAGCCGCGGUAAUACGUAGGGCGCAAGCGUUGUCCGGAAUUAUUGGGCGUAAAGAGCUCGUAGGCGGUUUGUCGCGUCUGCUGUGAAAACUCGAGGCUCAACCUCGGGCUUGCAGUGGGUACGGGCAGACUAGAGUGCGGUAGGGGAGACUGGAAUUCCUGGUGUAGCGGUGGAAUGCGCAGAUAUCAGGAGGAACACCGAUGGCGAAGGCAG
rnacentral:rRNA from 1 species